rnacentral:rRNA from 1 species
UACAGAGGGGGCAAGCGUUGUUCGGAAUUACUGGGCGUAAAGCGCACGUAGGCGGCUUGGUAUGUCGGGUGUGAAAUCCCCGGGCUUAACCUGGGAACUGCAUUUGUGACUGCAUGGCUGGAGUGCGGCAGAGGGGGAUGGAAUUCCGCGUGUAGCAGUGAAAUGCGUAGAUAUGCGGAGGAACACCGAUGGCGAAGGCAAUCCCCUGGGCCUGCACUGACGCUCAUGCACGAAAGCGUGGGGAGCAAACAGG